UACGAGUACCCCAAGCGUUAUCCGGAAUUAUUGGGCGUAAAGGGUGUGUAGGUGGUUAUGUUAGUCUUCUGUCAAAUUCUUCGGCUUAACCGGGGGUCCGCAGAGGAAACGGCAUGACUCGAGGAUGCGAGGGGUGAAUGGAACUCAUGGAGUAGGGGUGAAAUCCGUUGAUAUCAUGGGGAACACCAAAAGCGAAGGCAGUACACUGGCCUAUAUUUGACACUGAAGCACGAAAGCGUGGGUAGCGAAUGGG
rnacentral:rRNA from 1 species